ensembl:rRNA 5S_rRNA 5S ribosomal RNA
GUCUACGGCCAUACCACCCUGAACGUGCCCAAGCUCUGCUCUCAGAGGCUAAGCAGGGUCCAGUCUGGUUAUUACUUGGAGGGGACACCGCCUGGGAAUACCGGCUGCCAUAGGUU